AUUGAACGCUGGCGGCAGGCCUAACACAUGCAAGUCGAGCGAGUGGCGGACGGGUGAGUAAUGUAUGGGGAACUGCCUGAUGGAGGGGGAUAACUACUGGAAACGGUAGCUAAUACCGCAUACCAUCAGAUGUACCCAGAUGGGAUUAGCUAGUUGGGGGGGUAAAGGCUCACCUAGGCGACGAUCCCUAGCUGGUCUGAGAGGAUGAUCAGCCACACUGGAACUGAGACACGGUCCAGACUCCUACGGGAGGCAGCAGUGGGGAAUAUUGCACAAUGGGCGCAAGCCUGAUGCAGCCAUGCCGCGUGUAUGAAGAAGGCCUUAGGGUUGUAAAGUACUUUCAGCGGGGAGGCGUUACCCGCAGAAGAAGCACCGGCUAACUCCGUGCCAGCAGCCGCGGUAAUUC
rnacentral:rRNA from 1 species